rnacentral:misc_RNA from 1 species
CCGCGCGCUUGCCAGCCUCUGGUGCUAAACCAAGGAGAACUUCGACAAAAUUCUUCCCGUUCGCCGUACACGCUAACGAUAAAUUACAAUAUUCGCGUUUUGUACGUCGAGUCGGUCGCAGCGGUUCCCCGUGCGGUCUCAUUAUCCAGAUCGGAUCAAGUGCGGAUCGGAAUCCCUUGGCAGUAAACCGCGUUUAUCCGGUUCGCUUGGAUCUUGCAAGUUUUUAAACUCACGAUCGAUCGUCGCACACGUGGUGCUCUCGAUCCUCUUUCUCUCGCGUAUAUAUAUAUAUAUACCACAGGUGUAUUGUACGUAUAGAUACGACAUAACUGAUGAUCGUUUUCACCGGCAAAUAUCUCGAGAGAUCCUUUUAAAAAGAUAUCCGAUCAUGGAUCUCAACGAUCAUCUUCCCGUUGAUGCGCUGGCACGUGCCGCUGAAAUUGCGGAGGAAGUUAAAGAUGGCUCGGCGAUUCUUAUCGCGAAAGGAGUCACGAUGUGCGUCCUAUGCGGCGUCAGUAUCUGCAUGGGUCUUAUCCCGAUGCAACUUGCAAAAUGGUUCAAGUGGACCGGCAACGAGAUAAGUCCCAGAUCAGCGACAAUUAUUUCACUUCUCUUGGGAUUCGGGGGUGGCGUUUUGCUGAGCACAACUUUCCUCCAUAUUUUACCAGAGGUCAGAGAAGGGGUGGAAGAACUGAUGGAAUCUGGGAGUCUUCCGAACUUCAGUCACUCACUGGCUGAACUUUUCAUGUGCGCGGGGUUCUUUCUCAUGUACCUCAUAGAAGAAAUAGUCCACGUCUACCUCAGGAGAGACGAUAGAAGGCGCAAAGAAUCCCAAGAAGCUUUUCACAAUGGAAGACAGAUCACCAAAAGCACAAACGAUCUGGUGGAAAACGGACAAUCUCUUGCGCCAAAGACGGAACCUCACGUUGGAUAUGGCCACGGGCACAGCCAUCUUCCGAUUCCGGUGGACGACGACGAUUUCGUCGUCAGUUCUCUGCGAGGAUUACUCGUCGUCCUAGGACUGUCGGUUCACGAAUUGUUCGAAGGAUUGGCGAUCGGGUUGUCGAGUACAGCCAGCGAUGUCUGGUAUCUCUUCGGCGCUGUAGCCGCCCACAAAUUUGUGAUCGCGUUCUGCAUAGGCAUCGAACUCAUAACGUCCAGGACUCGAUUCUUUUUGAUCGUUAUAUACAUUUGUACGUACGCGGUCGUUUCGCCGAUCGGUGUGGGAAUCGGUAUGAUUUUAACCGGAGGCGAAUCCGCCGUAGCGAGCGGUCCCGCCGCCGUAAUUUUGCAGGGACUCGCGACGGGGACACUUCUGUACGUCGUGUUCUUCGAAAUCCUCAGAAAACAGCGUCACGGAUUGGGCCAAUAUUUUUCGGUACUCAUAGGCUUCCUGCUGAUGCUGACUCUCGAGUUGAGCAUUGGACACAAACAUUCGCAUUCCCAUUCGGGUGAUCAUGGGCAUUCGCAUGAUGAAUCUGGUGAGCCCGGACAUUCGCAUGCUCGUCGUUAAUCUAAUGCGAAAGAAUUCUGUGAACGUUAUUCCAUACGACCUAACGAACUUCGGUCUACGAAAACUGUAACACGAAAUGGAUGCCCGUUACGCAAGACGUAAAAAUACAGAAAAUACCUCCGAAUAAGCUCUUCGCAUCACGUAUGUACGAACACAUAUGUCUUUGGACGGCGGCUAACAUUUUUUUAUCUUCCUGAGCGGAAUAUUCUUAUUCAAAGCUUCGCACUCUCACGACCACGGUCACGGUCAUGGCAAUUCCCACGGGCAUCAGCACGAGCACAACGAUCACGUCCACGA